rnacentral:rRNA from 1 species
UACGAAGGGUGCAAGCGUUACUCGGAAUUACUGGGCGUAAAGCGUGCGUAGGUGGUUCGUUAAGUCUGUCGUGAAAGCCCCGGGCUCAACCUGGGAAUGGCGAUGGAUACUGGCGAGCUAGAGUGCGGUAGAGGAGAGUGGAAUUCCUGGUGUAGCGGUGAAAUGCGCAGAUAUCAGGAGGAACACCAAUGGCGAAGGCAGCUCGCUGGGACGUGACUGACGCUGAGACGCGAAAGCGUGGGGAGCAAACAGG